GUAAGACUACACAAGGGAAGGGGAGAGCUUUUGUUCAAGGUCCAGAGCUGAAAGGUAACCUUUAGAGAUAUUCCCUCCCCAAUACCCCAAAGAAGAAAGAACACACAACUCACAACUUGGCAGUCAGUCUUCUGGUGAUGAGCAUCUCUACAAAUACCCAGUCCACCAUUGGGGGCCCAUAUAUUAUCUUUCAAGUUUGGUCCAGCCUGUGCUAAAUGUGGACUCUGCCUUGAAGAAGACUGCAAGAAAUACAGCAUCUGCUGACUGUGAGAAGGUUCAACUUUAUGAGCACCAGGAAUUCUCCCAACAGUAAUCGAGCCAUCGAUGGUAUUGGUUGAUCUAAGACAAAGGAGCUCCACAAAACGCCAAGUGAUCCUGAAGAAUGACAAUGUAUAUGUACACUGGAAGAAAGAAAAACAACAACCAUCCACUUCAAACAAAGCCAUCCAAACCCCCACCGCUCACCAAUCAAGCAGGCACUGUGGGGAGCCUCCAACUCAUGAACGAUUUUGGAAUCAUGUGGGAGCUCAGUGUAUCAGCAAAGUUCGUUGUGAGACAUCUACCCUGCCGUGCUGGGGAUUUCAUUGAAGGUCCAUAGUAGAAAUAUGUGUUUUAAUGUCCUUGGCUCCAUUAUUCCGGAUUGUUCUCAACUCCCACCCUGGACGAGACCCCCAAAAUCAGAACGCGACCCCAAAAGUCAGAACACAUGCACAUGGGCUUUUAGGCAGGGGAAGAGCAUGGGGCUCUUUUUGUCUCAGAGGUGCCAUGCAGAGAAUGUGUGAGGAGCCAUCUUCAUCGAUGCACUGAGUACAGCCUGGGAUUUUCCUGCCAAAUGAAGAGAAUUGCACUUGGAUAGUAUGCAAUAACAAUCAUUUCCCUUGAUGGCAUCUCUCAAAGACCUUCCUAGAUGCCGUGAGGGUCUGUGCUACGAGUGACUGAUGAGAAAAUGAAGCUUCAUUCCUUUUGUUUAUCUCUUUCUCAUUCUCUCUCUCAAGAUAUGGUUUCAUUAGUACUCCAGACUAACUGCCGAGGUAGUUCUGUGACUUUUGCGGUCUCAUGAGAGAUCUGUUUGAGGCAGUGUGAUGAGGAUGGCAAAGUGCUACCUCACCACUCUCUGGGCUGCCUGCUCUGAUGUACUGAUUUAAUUCAGGGGUGUGCUGAAAAGACACUUCUCUGAUUUGCCUUGGAGUUAAUCGUCUUGUUCCAGGCAAUGCUCAGAGAAAAUCUUCUUUAGCUAGAACUCCUGGACCUACCUCAAAGGGGAACCAAGACGAGGAACUAUUGACUUAGGAAAACUGAGGGGGAAAAGAAAUAUCUACUUCCUUAGUGUUUCUUGGGUUGCAUGGAUUAUAGCCAAGUUCAUGUUUGCAAAAGGCUUUGAUCUACUACAGGAAGAGCAGGGAAAGUGCCUACCCAAACUACUAUCCAUGGUCUUGGGACAGAAUGUUCCUUAUGUCCCAGAUUCUCCUUCCUCACCUUUGCCCAUCUUCCUUCAAGGCUCAGUUCAAGUGGCUGUCCAUGAAAAAACAUUUAUGAAGCACCUGCUAUAUGCUACUGUGCUGAAUUAUGAGAAUACAAAGAAGAUAAA
ensembl:lncRNA uncharacterized LOC107650185